rnacentral:lncRNA from 1 species
GUGCAGAGCGCUACCCAAGACUGAGGUAUGAAAGGGGCUGAAACAGAGACUGGCAAGCAAAGGCGCAGGAGGAAGCCAGGCUGGGAAGAGCCUGGAGCGCCAGUCGUGUCCCAACACCGGGACAACGCUGGAGAUUCUUCAUAAGCAGGUGCGGACGUGCUUAGAGAAGAACGUUCGGAAGGCUUCUUCAGCAUCCGUUGACCCACUGGCCCAAACAGGCUCCAAGGUGCUGGCAUCUCCUAGCUGUGACACACAGAUAUUGCUUUCCUGAGACAGCGUUCUCUAAAAGAAGACUCUCUGGUCACAAGAUGUCACACCUCAGCAAGAAGCCAAACGAACAGGCCAUCUGUCUGCAUCCUCUGCGUGGCAUUGAGAGGGAAUCAUCCAACAGACAAAUCACAUCAAGGGGCAAUCUCAACCCAGAGAAGGUAAGAGAGAGAUUUCAGGCACGCCUUCCACUCAAGCGUGACUUUUCCUCUU